rnacentral:rRNA from 1 species
UGGGCUAGAAUGUCACGCGACAGAGGGUGAAAGCUCUUCUUAUAGCAAUAUACGCGUGAUAAGGUGCUGCAUGGCUGUCGUCAGCUCGUGCCGUGAGGUGUUGGGUUAAGUCCCGCAACGAGCGCAACCCCCAUCACUAGUUGCCAUCAGGUAACGCUGGGAACUCUAGUGAAACUGCCGUCGUAAGACGUGAGGAAGGAGGGGAUGAUGUCAAGUCAUCAUGGCCUUUAUGCCCAGGGCUACACACGUGCUACAAUGGGACGUACAAAGAGCAGCAACACAGCGAUGUGAAGCCAAUCUCAAAAAACGUCUCUCAGUUCAGAUUGGAGUCUGCAACUCGACUCCAUGAAGCUGGAAUCGCUAGUAAUCGUAUAUCAGCAAUGAUACGGUGAAUACGUUCCCGGACC